UCCGUAAUGCACCGACGCCGUAUGGUGGAUGACUUGGCUUGGGUGGCGACGAAGGACGCGGCAAGCUGCGAAAAGCCCCGGGGAGGCGCACGCAUCCCUUGAUCCGGGGAUUUCCGAAUGGGGUAAAACCCACCGAGAUUGCCGCAAGGCGUCUCGGUGAUCCGAAAGGAUCGCGAACGCUGGGGAAGGAAACAUCUGAGUACCAGCAGGAAGAGAAAUCAAUUGAGAUCCCGUUACUAGCGGCGAGCGAAAACGGGACAGCCCAAACCGAAUCCCCUGGUGAAAGCUAGGGGAGAUGUAGGGUUCGCCUUCAGCGUGUGCGACCCUGGGACCGAUAGCUGAACUCGGCUGGAAAGCCGGAGAACAGAGUGUGAUACUCACGUAGGUCAAUCGGGACCGAGGUCGUGCUGAGGGCAGAGUACCUGGCCUUGGCAGUGGCUAGGGAACAUGGGGGAAAGCAGCCUCCAAGGCUAAACACUACCCAAGACCGAUAGCAAACUACGUACCGCGAGGGAAAGUUGCAAAGGGCCCCGAAAGGGGUGUGAAAAGAGCCUGAAACCAUACGGUUACAGACGUGCGCGGCAUGGAAGGACCACGAUCCUUGAGCGAGUCCCGCAAGGGGCUCAAUUGAGGGUAAGUGCUCCGGUGUCGCGCAUUCCGUCUAGAAACACGGGCCAGGGAGUUAACUGUCAUGGCGAGCCUAAGGGUUCAAAGCCCGGAGGCGAAGCGAAAGCGAUACUCCGCAAGGCCGCAAGGCCCCAGGGAGGAGGUGUGAAAGUGCCUUUGAGUCAUGGCGGUUUAGACUAGAAACCGAGUGAUCGUGCCCUCGACAAGGUGAAGCCGGGCGAAAGCCUGGUGGAGGCCUGACAGGGUCUUAACGUGCAACUUAGUCCCCUGAUCGGGGGCAAGGGGCCAAAAGCCUAUCUAACUCGGUGAUUGCUAGUUCCCACCGAAGCGGAUCCCAGUCCUGUCUCCGUGGAUGUAGCUCACGCUGUAGAGCACCGAUGAAGAAACAAGGAUUCGAAAGGGUCCACUUCUUUUUCGAACUCCGAAUGUGUGGGCGCAAGAGAAGCGGGGAAGCGGGUUUAUGUGGGGUAAGCCUCAUAACCGAGAGGGGAUUAACCCAGACUGGAGUUAAGGUCCCCAAGUUUAGGCUAAGUGUCAAGCUAAAGGGUGUCCGCGAGCUCAGACAGCAGGGAGGUAGGCUUAGAAGCAGCCACCCUUCAAAGAUAGCGUAACAGCUCACCUGCCGAGCUUGCAGGCCCCGAAAAUGGACGGGACUAAAGCCUAGCACCGAUACUCCGGACAGCUACUCUGAGAGUAGCUUGUGGUAGGUGGGCGUAGAGAUUGGGCGGAAGCCGGGCCGUGAGGUCCGGUGGACCGAUUUCUAGUGCAGAUCCUGGUAGUAGUAGCAGCAUAGUCGGGUGAGAAUCCUGACCGCCGCAAGGGCACGGGUUCCCUGGCAAUGCGUCGUCAGCCAGGGGUUAGCCGAUCCUAAGUGUAUCCUCAACAGGGAAACACGAACCAGGGAAACUGGUUAAAAUUCCAGUGCCUUCGUUUGGCCGAUGGGCCGCAAGGCCCGGCAUCGACUCCGACACUUCGAGGUAGGACGUGCAGAGUUUAUCGCUCUGUCUAAUCUUCCGAGUCGUGGGGAGUGUCGUAAUGACGAGAACCACGUCGAGGGGAGAAUGGCAGCCCGUUGGGGUUGUUCGUUCAAUCCCCGGAGACCGUGAAAACGGAGUUGGAAAGACCAAGCGAAGAUCGUACCCAGAACCGACACAGGUGCCCCUAGGUAAGAAGCCUAAGGCGUGUCGGGGAACUGUAGGUAAGGGAACUCGGCAAAAUAGUGGCGUACGUUAGCUAGAAGCCAUGCCUGCAUUCUUCAUGAGAAAUGGGGUUUGCAGGUUGCAAUAACAAGGGGGUCCCGACUGUUUACUAAAAACACAGUAAGCCGCAAGUCCGAAAGGAUGUGUACGGCUUAUGAAUCCUGGCCAGUGCAGGUACCUAAAACCUGGGUUCAACUGGGCUAAGGGCCUGUAAACGCCGGGAGUAACUCUGACUCUCUUAAGGUAACGUUGUUGCCUUAACAAAAUCUGGCUAUAUGCUGGAAAGUCUGGGAAUGCCACACUAGUCAUGGGUGCUUAAAGGCACCAGUUGACUAACAACGUGUUGGCUGCAGAUGAUCAGCAGGAAAGGCUAGACGCCAACUGGGUAGUUGGAUUCGUGGAUGGCGAAGGUUGCUUCCACGUCUCCAUCAACAGACAACCAAAGAUGACUACCGGCUGGCAAGUGUUGCCAGAAUUCAGGGUAGUCCAACACAAGAAAAGCGAAUCAGUCCUAUUCAGAAUGCAACAGUUCUUCGGAGCAGGGACGGUCGUGGGAAACCACGGCUGGAGACGGGAACUGCGCAUCCGGAAACUGGACGACCUCAGGAGGGUCGUCGCAUUCUUCGAGAAAUAUCCACUCCAAACCAAGAAACAGGAGGACUUCGCGCUGUUCCGACAGACCAUCGCCUCGAUGGAAAAGAAGGAACAUCUGACGAAGGAAGGCCUCACGAAGAUAGCACAAAUCAGCUGGAAGAUGAACAAGAAAGUCAAACCCAGAUACUUGGCCUAGCAUCCUCAGAGACUAUACGCCGGAAGCCGAACUAGCAUCGGCUAAGAUAUAGUCCGACCCAUGCAGCGAUGCAUGGAGACCUGGAGAAAUCCAGGCCCGCCUUCGCACGGCGAAGGUCUACGGAAAGCAACAGAUGUGAGCCAAAUGCCUUGUCGGGUAAGUUCCGACGUGCAUGAAUGGACCAACGAGGGCCCCGCUGUCCCUAUCUACGACCCGGCGAACCUACGUAAGGUGGACGAACAGUCCAUCAACUUCCAUCGGGGAGAGAAGUCCCUGUGGAGCUUUACUGCAGCUUGUUGCUGCGAUGCGGUCUUCUUUGCAGAGUGUAGCUGGGAGACUUCGAAGCGCUGCUUUCGGGUGGCGUGGAGUCAACAAUGUAACACCAGCCUUAGUGGACUGCGUCGCUAACUCCUACGGGAGGACAACGGCAGGUGGGCAGUUCGGCUGGGGCGGCACCCCCUUGAAAAGAUAUCGAGGGGGCCCUAAGGUCGGCUCAUCUGGGUCAGAACUCCAGAGUUGACGGCAAGGCGAAAAGCCGGCCUGACAGGAAGUUUAAACGCAGAACUUUCUGCAACGAAAGUUUGGCCUAGCGAUCCUCCAAGUCCUCACUGUUGGGGGCUGGAGGUGACAGAAAAGUUACCCCAGGGGUAACAGGCUCGUCGCGGGCGAGAGCUCCAAUCGACCCCGCGGUUUGGUACCUCGGCCCAUCAGGGCCUUGGGGCAGAAUCGUGGUAACGCGAUUGAAGUAUCCGCAGAAAAAACACGAGUAUCGGCUUAUAUCGGCGAAACCCGACCUCCUUUAUCCAGGAGUCCCCCCAAGGGGAUCAUUGGGAAGAGCGGGAGAGGGCAACGCCGAGGGAAGUCCAAUGGGAAUUCAGCACCCGACCAGAUGGAAGAAGUCAUUCGAUGACGCCGUGAAUGGCGUCCCAACAGCAGCACAUAUCGAGCUUGCAGGCAGGGCAGUCGACAGCGGAGGGGGCCUCACGGCACUCUUCCUGGGCGCAGCCGCAGUCUGCACAGCGCAUAACAAAUCUCGCUGCCAUGACAGGGACGCCACAGCUUCGUCUAAUACGACUUUCAUCUGAUUGGAAACGCAGGUUCGGUCAGGCAUCACCGCGGAUGGCAUGCGCAGAUUCAGGGAGGGCGCGCCUCAGAGGUGCGCGAGGAUAGGAUACACGGCGAGCAGCAUUAUCGCCAGCAUGGCGACGAUGAGGACCGCCGCGGCCAGGGCAAAGAACUUGCUCGUCCUGUCCAUGCGCGUCUCGCCAGCGCGGCACCCAAUAAACCCUGGGUAUGCGCAGGUCAAACAUCCCGGAUGCCACCGUUAAAGAGGUCCGGCCGUUCCGUUGUGACCCCGUAACGACUGAGCGCGCAGAAGUGUGCGUAAUGAGAUGGCCACGCGGCUAGCUCGAGAUCCCGCAAGGGACACAUCGCGUUCCGACGCGAUGCGACAUGGGCGCAAGCCCGCUCGGGUGUGCCACACAAGAAACGCGGCCAUCAUACGCCGACCCCACGAGUGCUCGUGGGUGAAGACAUAGUCUAACUCCGGGCGUAAGCCUGGGUAUAGUUGCGAUGUCGGCUCUUCCCAUCCUGGUCCUGCAGCAGGGGCCAAGGGUGGGGCUGCUCGCCCAUCAAAGGGGAACGUGAGCUGGGUUUAGACCGUCGUGAGACAGGUCGGCCUCUACCUGAUGGAAGCGGUGGUUCACUGAGGGGAAGCCCUGCCCAGUACGAGAGGAACAGCGGGGCGUUGCCUCUGGCGUACCGGUCGUCCGAGAGGGCGUCGCCGGGCAGCUAAGCAAUUGUGGAUAACCGCUGAAAGCAUCUAAGCGGGAAGCCACUCCCGAGAAGAGUGAGCCUUGGACCCAAGCUACCUCCGCAAGGGGGUGGGGCGGGUCCAGAAGGGCGGCCAUAGAAGAUGGCGUUGAAAUGGUGGGGGUGUACGCUGGAAGCUUCGGCGACCAGUUCAGCCCGUCCACUAAUUACAGCCCAACGCUUGGAUGA
rnacentral:rRNA from 1 species